UUGAACGCUGGCGGCAGGCUUAACACAUGCAAGUCGAGCGGAGAGAGGUAGCUUGCUACUGAUCUUAGCGGCGGACGGGUGAGUAAUACUUAGGAAUCUGGCUAUUAGUGGGGGACAACAUUUCGAAAGGGAUGCUAAUACCGCAUACGUCCUACGGGAGAAAGCAGGGGAUCUUCGGACCUUGCGCUAAUAGAUGAGCCUAAGUCGGAUUAGCUAGUUGGUGGGGUAAAGGCCUACCAAGGCGACGAUCUGUAGCGGGUCUGAGAGGAUGAUCCGCCACACUGGGACUGAGACACGGCCCAGACUCCUACGGGAGGCAGCAGUGGGGAAUAUUGGACAAUGGGGGGAACCCUGAUCCAGCCAUGCCGCGUGUGUGAAGAAGGCCUUAUGGUUGUAAAGCACUUUUAGUUGGGAAGAAAAGCUCAAGAUUAAUAACCUUGAGUGAUGACGUUACCAACAGAAAAAGCACUGGCUAACUCUGU
rnacentral:rRNA from 1 species